UUCUGUAUGUGUUCUCUCUGUUUUCUGGAUUUCAUUGACCGUGUGUUUGUGUGGUAUAUUACCAGGAGGCCUUCUUCGGGAAGGGGCUGCUGGACAAGAGCAAGCAGAGCAGGCAGGCAGGCUUGCUGACCACGGGGCUCUGUGAGGAGCUGCUGGACAAGUGCAAGCAGAGCAGUCAGGCAGGCCUGGUGACCACAGGGCUCUGUGAGGAGAGCCCAGGGGCCCAUGCAGAGACCAAACCCCCCAGCGCCAGCUUCCUGGACCCCUUGUCGGACCCGCUGCUCAGUGCUACCUCCACCACUACACCCAUCUCCAGCAAAGCAGGACUGCCCGAUACCGAGGAUCCCUUAGUGGACCUUUCGGAAGUCCUGAGCACGGAUGCAGAUCUCCUGGGAAUGCUGUCGGAUGAUCUGGUGAAGUCGGGGCACAACUCAGGUAGACCCCUCCCCUGCCCUCCUCCAAAAUGUCUGCCUCCACUUCCUUUCUUCUCUGCCCACUCACACACACUCUCAUUGUCGCUAGCAAGGUCAACUCCAUAAACAAGCUCCUGUGACAUUUCUCUGUUGCAUCUUUACUCAUCAUUUUGCAUUUUCCUUCACUUGUAUAGUUUUGUACUUCGAGUAAAUAGUCUUGGUUUGCAGUACCUCCUUUCUGUGUCCAUUGAUUUUGGUUUGCUUUUGAACAGUUUUCUUGAAAUGCCCAUCUUGAUGCCUGCAUAAUGGAGUGACAUAACACUCCUCAUAGACGAGGGUUAAUAACAACCAGAACUGGGUUCAAAUUGUAUUUGUUUUCUUUCAAAUGUUUUGAGUGUUUUUUUUUUUUUUUUUAAACGUUGGUUACAUUGUACCAGACAAGCUCAUUCAAGCAUUUUUAUGGGUUCCGAUACUAUUUGAACCCAGGCCUGUGUUAGGACUCGUGUCGUGAUGGUUGGUUUUAUGUCACUACUAUUGUGGUGUAGCAUCACAGUGGGCUGCUUCAAGUAAAGUGUUAGCAUAGCAUUUUAUCACACCUGCUUUUCUCCUCCUCAGUUUAUAAUCCUCUGGUUUUGGGUUCCUGUAGGUCUUGAUUUAUGCCCUUUCCAAGUCGACUGCUCUUCCUCUCCGUUUGGUAAGAGACGUCCUCGGGCCCGUCUGGCCUCUUAGGAGCAGACCUGCCACCCCUCCCCUUCUCCCACUUUUGGGAUGCUUUGGGACCCCAUCCCCUCUAACACUUUCUACGCUCUCUGCAUUUUUUCAUGUCCUUCCUUCUCUGCGCUCCCCAUUUUCUCACGCUGUAGCACUGUACAGUCUUUUUGACUAACUACUGUGAUUUUACAACCACUCACCAAUCUGCAUGUCUAUUGACCAAUCUAUGGACUGUUGAGUGAUAUUCUGUGGAGAAAAAAAGGGCUGGAGGUGAAAGUGAUGAGUUGCUCUUUUUAAAUAAUGUUGUUUAAUACAAAUGUCAUAACUUUAAUAUAAUUCAUUUGGUUUCUUCAUGAAAAACCUGGGUUAUAUACCUGAGAUUUUGCAAAAAGCUGACCACACACACGGCUAUAAACUUUUGUUUUCAUUUGAUGUGUUUUAGUGCUUUCUAACCGCCUCACCCCAGCUGAGUUUGUUGAGUAUGGGUUUCAAAGUCUGACCUUCCUCUAGUCAUAGAAACAAAGCUUGAACUAUAAAUGACUCCACGUUCCAUGGAGC
ensembl:lncRNA